AACCUGGAGGAGAUCUGGGGUCACCAAGGUGGGACCUGGAGAAGGUUUGGGGUCACCAAGGUGGGACCUGGAGGACCUGGAGAACAUUGAGGGGCACCAAGGUGGGACCUGGUGGAGAUCUGAGGUCACCAAGGUGGGACCUGGAGAAGGUUUGGGGUCACCAAGGUGGGACCUGAUGGACAUUGGGGUCACCAAGGUGGGACCUGGAGAAGGUUUGCGGUCACCA
rnacentral:lncRNA from 1 species